rnacentral:rRNA from 1 species
UCGAGGAUCUUCGUCAAUGGGGGCAACCCUGAACGAGCGAUGCCGCGUGCGCGAUGAAGGCCUUCGGGUUGUAAAGCGCGAAAGUGGGGAGAAAAGCGAAAGUUUGAUCUAUCCACAGUAAGCUCGGGCUAAGUUCGUGCCAGCAGCCGCGGUAAGACGAACCGAGCGAACGUUGUUCGGAAUCACUGGGCUUAAAGGGCGCGUAGGCGGGCUGUCAAGUUUGGGGUGAAAUCCCACGGCUUAACCGUGGAACUGCCUCAAAUACUGACGGUCUCGAGGGAGGUAGGGGCGAGCGGAACUGAUGGUGGAGCGGUGAAAUGCGUUGAUAUCAUCAGGAACUCCGGUGGCGAAGGCGGCUCGCUGGACCUUUUCUGACGCUGAGGCGCGAAAGCUAGGGGAGCAAACGGGAUUAGAUACCCGCGUAGUCC